rnacentral:rRNA from 1 species
GACGAACGCUGGCGGCGUGCCUAAUACAUGCAAGUCGAGCGGACCUCUUCGGAGGUCAGCGGCGGACGGGUGAGUAACACGUGGGCAACCUGCCUGUAAGACUGGGAUAACACCGGGAAACCGGUGCUAAUACCGGAUAAUCCUUUUCCUCACAUGAGGGGAAGCUGAAAGACGGUUUCGGCUGUCACUUACAGAUGGGCCCGCGGCGCAUUAGCUAGUUGGUGGGGUAACGGCCCACCAAGGCGACGAUGCGUAGCCGACCUGAGAGGGUGAUCGGCCACACUGGGACUGAGACACGGCCCAGACUCCUACGGGAGGCAGCAGUAGGGAAUCUUCCGCAAUGGACGAAAGUCUGACGGAGCAACGCCGCGUGAGCGAAGAAGGCCUUCGGGUCGUAAAGCUCUGUUGUCAGGGAAGAACACGUACCGGAGUAACUGCCGGUACCCUGACGGUACCUGACCAGAAAGCCACGGCUAACUACGUGCCAGCCGCCGCGGUAAGAC